UGGGGAAUAUUGGACAAUGAGGGAAACCUUGAUCCAGCAAUACCGCGUGUGUGAAGAAGGCCUGCGGGUUGUAAAGCACUUUCAGUAGGGAAGAAGUUUUAUAGUUUAAGAGAUAAUAAAAUUGACGUUACCUACAGAAGAAGCACCGGCUAACUCUGUGCCAGCAGCCGCGGUAAUACAGAGGGUGCGAGCGUUAAUCGGAAUUACUGGGCGUAAAGCGUGCGUAGGUUGUUAUAUAAGUUAGGUGUGAAAUCCUGGAGCUCAACUUCAGAAUUGCGCUUAAUACUGUAUAACUAGAGUCUUGGAGGGGACAGUGGAAUUUCCGGUGUAGCGGUGAAAUGCGUAGAUAU
rnacentral:rRNA from 1 species